GUCACUGUUAGCUAAACUUUGUCUGUGUGUGUGCGUAGGUGUGAGUGCUUUGCCCGUCAACGGGGCGCCGUUCAUUCUCUUCUAACUAAAUGCCACGAUUAUGUUUCGGAGUCUCAUUAGUUGCAACUUAAAGUCUUCUAAAGCGUCAACUAGCGGCUACUGGGGCUGUGGCUGCGCGGGGGAUGCGCUGUGUAAAUGAUGCCGUUAAUGAUGUAAGUGCAAGCGAGUCAAGCACCUUCUUUUUAGGUCGAGCUUGUGUGUCAGGUUUAUGAGAUUGUUAAUUGGUAUUAGCUGCAGUCUCGCCUUUUUGCGCAUACAUCCCCACAUAUAUGGAUAUCUACUUUUAUCGUUUCACCCGUGUGCUCAAAACCCAAAUGAAUUUGACAAUGCAGCAGGCACAGAGACUAAAACAAAGCAGUCAUAAAAUGGCACAACUAAUCACGCUGACGUUGACAGAAAAGCAGAGACAAAAAACAACCAAAAACACGAGCAGAGCAGCCACAACAAACAACGUCAACAAUGGAGCCGCCUAUAAAAUUCACAUGCGAGCGUGUUUAAUGGAGGCCCAGCCCACCGAAACGGAACCAGCACACAGGUUGUAUCGUGUGCAGUGAGGGGCAGUAAAAGUGCUGGAAAAUGAUGCGCACGUGACAUCCGGCAAGGCGUCACGAUGGUCAGGUGGAUUGCUGGCCAAGGGCUGGGUUGGCCAGGCCAAAAGGCACAAAGUGAAAAAAAUCUGCCAGCCAGCCAGCUAACUGACAACAACUGGAUCAGCAGAGGACCAACAGCGGGAGCAGCUAGCACAAAGGCCAGCAAACGAGACACACAAGCCAAAAGCAAACAAAAGCCAAAAAAUUAUGCGCUAGUCGCAAGACGCAGUCGGCUCAUUUUCCAUUUGUUAGUCAGCUCACAGGAGCUAACAGGCAGUUGAGUACUCUGCUAUGGAACAUAAUGUGCAGCCAGGGCAUGUAAUUUUAUACAAGCGUGUGAGGGGGCAGACUAUCUACUAUCUACUAAGGGAAGGAAUCUCUGAAGAAAACCCCUUUGAAAUCAGGUGCAUGCAAUGAGGUUAUGAAGUUAGGGUAUACAAACUUCGUUACAAUAUUGUGCUUUUCUAAAGGAAGCAUGGGUUUGAAAAUGGGAAUGAAAGCCUGGGCAGGCGCUCAAGAAAAUUAGUCGCGCUUUUGCGCGCUCGUCGGAAAAUAAUAAAAACUGAAGUGUAAAUUUACUUCCGCUGCAAAAAUGUGGGCGCAUGCUGACAGCUGCUGGUUUGGGCGUGGAUGUAGGCGUGGGCAUGCCCCAAAGCGUCGAGGUGGACGCUGCAACUUUUUCUAAUUAAGCGUACGUGCGACUGUCAGCAACAUCACGAGCCACGACCCCGGCUACGACUGAGGCAAAGACAGCGGCAAAAAUGAAAGCGGGGAGUGGAUUAGGGGCAGGAGCACGGACAGAGCAGCUAACUGCUAACUUGUAUAACUUAUUGUCGUUGACAAUUGUUUUAAUUGAAAAGUGC